rnacentral:rRNA from 1 species
AGCGAACGCUGGCGGCAGGCCUAACACAUGCAAGUCGAGCGAAGCCUUCGGGCUUAGUGGCGGACGGGUGAGUAACACGUGGGAACGUACCUUUUGGUUCGGAAUAACGCAGAGAAAUUUGCGCUAAUACCGGAUGAGCCCUUCGGGGGAAAGAUUUAUCGCCGAGAGAUCGGCCCGCGUUGGAUUAGGUAGUUGGUGUGGUAAAGGCGCACCAAGCCUACGAUCCAUAGCUGGUCUGAGAGGAUGAUCAGCCACACUGGGACUGAGACACGGCCCAGACUCCUACGGGAGGCAGCAGUGGGGAAUCUUGCGCAAUGGGCGAAAGCCUGACGCAGCCAUGCCGCGUGAAUGAUGAAGGUCUUAGGAUUGUAAAAUUCUUUUACCAGGGACGAUAAUGACGGUACCUGGAGAAAAAGCCCCGGCUAACUUCGUGCCAGCCGCCGCCGUAACAC